GAUCAUGGCUCAGGAUGAACGCUAGCGGCAGGCUUAACACAUGCAAGUCGAGGGGCAGCGGGGUGUAGCAAUACACUGCCGGCGACCGGCGCACGGGUGCGUAACGCGUAUGCAACCUACCCAUAACAGGGGCAUAACACUGAGAAAUUGGUACUAAUUCCCCAUAACAUUCGAAGAGGCAUCUCUUUGGGUUGAAAACUCCGGUGGUUAUGGAUGGGCAUGCGUUGUAUUAGAUAGG
rnacentral:rRNA from 1 species